UAUGUAGAAAAGGAAUAAACCAAAUUCUAAACUUCAUCAUCCUUUCGGUCUUCGCCGUUUGCGCCAUCACCGGUGAACCAUGCCUCCGUUCACGAGUCAAGCACUCCUUGUACAAUCGUGAACACCAUAACAUUGUGAUCAGUGCCUAUCCUCGUGUCAUUCAAUCAUCUUAUUUGAAGUCCCCGCCGGUGAGCUCUGAUAUUCCGUCCGUAUGGUUUCUUAUUGAUGGGGUCGUAAUUGAUAUCCAUGAAACCAAAGAUUUCUUGGUAAAAGCAUCGGAUGUCCUACGGUAGAUCCUCAUUGUUGGAGUUGGAGGAGAAGAAUUCAAAGAAAUGGAGAUUUUAGAUGCUGACAAGGGGGAAAGACUUGAAAGUUUAACCGGAGAAGUUACUUCACUCCAUAUUGUUCAAUUGUUCCAUUUAGAUAUAUACAAGUCAUCUUGAUAAACUUUAUUAAGGAUAUGGUGGUAUGAAAUGUGGAUACAUCAUUCCCAUGGAAAUGGCAAUACCCUUUCUACAUUGGCCCAUACUUUGCUAUUGAUAUGUGCACAGGAAGUUUGAUCUUAUUCGUCUGGGAAAAGUUAAACAAGGAAAACACAGAUGCAUUUGACCUAGAAGUCUCCUCAUAUCUUAUCUACUGGGACGGUAUAUGCUAGUUUUCGAGUUCAAUACUUGCUCUUGCCGAGUAUUUCUUCAAGUAAACUUGUUAUUGGUGGUACGAAUGAAGUAAAUUCUUCUUCCAUGGUUCCAAUAUUUGCAAAUCCGUUCUGGAAGGAAAUUGUGGUAUUGUCAAACCGAUCCAUCUUGAAUUCGAGAUAAUGUUGGAAUUGUUUGAUAUUCGUUUGGAAGCAGUUCUAGUGA